CCCCCACCUAUCUGCCUGCAGGUCAAGAUGUAGUAUGUAAGUCUUUUCUACUUCUCCAGCACCAUGCCUGGCUGCGACCAUGCUUCCCGCCAUGAUGAUAAUGGACUAAACCUCUGAAAACUCUAACAGCUGGGUCAGGAUCUAGACAGAGGGCAGAGGUGCUGCUGAGCCCAGAAAGGCAAACACAAACGCUCCAGGACACCGGCUGCUGCUCAUCAUUCACGGUCAGACGGAACCCUCGUGCCCCACCCCACACCAUG
rnacentral:sRNA from 1 species